GACGAACGCUGGCGGCGUGCUUAACACAUGCAAGUCGAACGGAAAGGCCCUGCUUUUGUGGGGUGCUCGAGUGGCGAACGGGUGAGUAACACGUGAGUAACCUGCCCUUGACUUUGGGGUAACUUCAGGAAACUGGGGCUAAUACCGGAUAUGAGCUCCUGCUGCAUGGUGGGGGUCGGAAAGUUUCGGCGGUCGGGGAUGGACUCGCGGCUUAUCAGCUUGUUGGUGGGGUAGUGGCUUACCAAGGCUUUGACGGGUAGCCGGCCUGAGAGGGUUACCGGCCACCUUGGGACUGCGAUACGGCCCAGAAUCCUACGGGAGGCAGCAGUGGGGAAUAUUGCACAAUGGGCGGAAGCCUGAUGAAGCAACGCUGCGUGCGGGAUGACGGCCUUCGGGUUGUAAACCGCUUUCGCCUGUGACGAAGCGUGAGUGACGGUAAUGGGUAAAGAAGCACCGGCUAACUACGUG
rnacentral:rRNA from 1 species